UACGGGGGGGGCAAGCGUUGUUCGGAAUUACUGGGCGUAAAGGGCUCGUAGGUGGCCAACUAAGUCAGACGUGAAAUCCCUCGGCUUAACCGGGGAACUGCGUCUGAUACUGGAUGGCUUGAGUUCGGGAGAGGGAUGCGGAAUUCCAGGUGUAGCGGUGAAAUGCGUAGAUAUCGGAAGGAACACCAGUGGCGAAGGCGACUUCCUGGCCCGUUACUGACACUGAGGCGCGAAAGCGUGGGGAGCGAACAGG
rnacentral:rRNA from 1 species